UACAAGUUGGCGAAAUCUCAUCUUAGAGGCAUUCAAGAAGCAAGAGCUAGAUACAAGGAGCAAUUCUUCAAAAACCAUCUCCUUGCUGAAGGACGGAUGUAAAAUCAAUGAGGCCCAUACAGAUAUAGCAAAUAGAAAUGUUGAAAGAUGGCAAAAAUCCAGAGUAAGUUGAUACUUGAUUCAGAUAACUUGAACAACCCCUGAGAAUAAAGACGACGUGCCCAUUGGGAGUGGACGCCAAACUUUUGGCAUUCCCCCGAGCAUCUGUUCCAGACGUGAUGCUAAGGUUUUGUGUAUACAAGCUGAGGAAAUCUCAUCUUAGA